ACUAUAUCCAAAUUAAUUAUAAAAAGGCAUAUAGAGAGAGAGGAGCCCACUUCCUUCUUCGUUCGUUCGCUGUCGUCGCGUCGAGCAAUAAUUCGUGUGUUAUCAAUCGAAGAGGAGUACACCGUUAUUGUUAACAACAUCGUCUUCAUAGUUGUUGCUUUUUUGCGGAUUUUCAACCUCGUUGCUGUACCGCACCGCACUGUGCCGUUCCUCGGUUCGUUGCUUUUACAGUCACUAGAAUACAAAAUUUUAUCAUCCAAAGAAGACGACGACGACACACAGAAACAGAAACAGAAAUGUCGUCAAACUAAGAGAAGAGCAGAAGCUUCUUUAUUGUUGCCUUUUUAACUAUAUAGAGGUACUACUAUCAUUGUGAUAAUCGUCGUCGUCAUCUACAUACAUCAUCAUCAUCAUCAUCAUCAUCAUCCUAUCAAUCAAAAAAAUUGAAAUUAAUAAUUGAGGUGGAGAAGGUACCAAAGAGCGAAGUAAUGCAUUGCAAUGCGAAGUAGUCUCUUUCAGACUUUACGUAUUUUUACGUGUUAUGUCCGAAUAGCCAGCCAGGCCAGUUGAGCCAGUCAGUCAGGCAGCCAGCAGCCAUCAGCGGCAGCAGCUUCAUAUUCGCGGUUUUAGUUUUGUAUUUAUAUAGCUAUAUACUUAUUUAUUUUUUCUGUUGAUGUUGUUGUUUUGUGUAGCAAUAAAGAUGUUUCAUUGCCUAAGCUGCACUGUUGUUGUUGUUAAAUGUUUUGUAUUUAAUAGGAAUGCGGUGAUGGCGGUGUGCGAGCGGAUUCACUGUCCAAGCAAGCACCCACAUCCAUCGAACAUUUAGUUGCAUUAUAAACAUGGAGCGCACAAAAACCUACCCAAUAAUUACUCUCUUUAAUUUUCGCUAGCAAUCUAAGAUUCUACUUGUAUCUAAUCCCGAGACCGAGAGUCAUAAUUCCCUGAUAUAUAUGUACAUCAAUAACAACUGCAAGCUUAAUGAAGAAUUUUAAUAAAUAGAGAAAUUGCAAUGCAUAUAUGGAUUUAACUUGACAGAUUCCGUAAACCAAAAUGCACAGACACACAAAUGAUCGGGAAUCAAUUUUACAAGGCUUCAUUCUCAAAUCAACAUACCAUCAAUCCGCAAGAAGGGGUAUCAACGCCUAUCGGACUACAAGAACAGACAAAAUUAUGGCAGAGGCUGGACUUCCUACUUUGGAACAGCGUCAAUCAGAAAGCCUGUUAAAAAUACUGUCAAAGCUUCUUUUCUCCAAGGACUCUGUCAUUGAUAAAGAUAUCGACAAUUGCUAAAGCCUUGUCAACUGCAAAACAAAUGGGGUUACCAUUUAAGCGUGUCAAAGGAAACACCACUUCAACCUUCCCACCGUGGGACAUUAAUACAAACUCGUUUGAACUAACUCUAUCAGUAUACAAUAAAGACAACACAAACAACAGAAUCUAUCAUUCCACUUUCGCCGAAAUCAUGGUAAAUUUAAAACAAGAAGGCUGGAUUCCGGUCUUCACGGAUGGGUCGAAAUCAACUUUAAAUACCUCGUUUGCAGUAAUUCAAGAAGACGGAACUCUGCUAAGAGCUGGAAUUUUAUGGGAAUUCUCAUCAAUCUGAAGCUGCUAAAAUUGUCCUGCAAUUCACUUCAAAAGCAGUAAUUUGCUCCGACAGUCUAUCGGUGCUCAAAUCAAUCCUUAAUCCGAACAACAACAACAACAACAACAAAAUAAUAAACAAUAUAAGAGAUUUGCUCAUAAAACACACAACAAAAUUAAAAUUAAUGUGGGUAUCAGGUCAUAUCGCUAUACCAGGCAACGAAUAUGCCGACAAAGCUGCAAAACUCUGCAACGAAGCACCUGCUUUUACUUUCGACACAUUUUCAAAGAACGACAUUCAAAGAUAUAUCGAUCAAUUACUUUAAAAGAACAAAAUUCUCAACUGGAAUAGCUAUUUUCGUAGCUAUGCAUUAUGCAAAGAUAAACACUGACCGAUCCGCUCCAAUCUACCCUCCAAAACAAGAAUAUCAAACUUCAUUCGCCUUCACUUAGGACACAGUAUCUUAACUCACCAACACCUAUUAAGGAAAGAAAGUCCACCUCUCUGCCCAUCAUGCAACAACAACUUGAACAUGCCACAUAUACUGGCUUAUCAUCAUGUGGAAAAAUUAAUGCCAUCCUAAAAACCGACCAAAAUAUUUAUUCAUUU